rnacentral:rRNA from 1 species
AACGGCCAUACCACGCUGAAUAUACCGGUUCUCGUUAGAUCACCGAAGUCAAGCAUCACUGGGCGCGGUCAGUACUUGGGUGGGUGACCACCUGGGAACACCGCGUGCCGUU